AUGAACGCUGGCGGCGUGCCUAAUACCUGCAAGUCGAGCGAACAGACGAGGAGCUUGCUCCUCUGACGUUAGCGGCGGACGGGUGAGUAACACGUGGAUAACCUACCUAUAAGACUGGGAUAACUUCGGGAAACCGGAGCUAAUACCGGAUAAUAUAUUGAACCGCAUGGUUCAAUAGUGAAAGACGGUUUUGCUGUCACUUAUAGAUGGAUCCGCGCCGCAUUAGCUAGUUGGUAAGGUAACGGCUUACCAAGGCAACGAUGCGUAGCCGACCUGAGAGGGUGAUCGGCCACACUGGAACUGAGACACGGUCCAGACUCCUACGGGAGGCAGCAGUAGGGAAUCUUCCACAAUGGGCGAAAGCCUGACGGAGCAACGCCGCGUGAGUGAUGAAGGUCUUCGGAUCGUAAAACUCUGUUAUUAGGGAAGAACAAAUGUGUAAGUAACUAUGCACGUCUUGACGGUACCUAAUCAGAAAGCCACGGCUAACUACGUG
rnacentral:rRNA from 1 species